rnacentral:rRNA from 1 species
AGCAGCCGCGGUAAUUCCAGCUCCAAUAGCGUAUAUUAAAGUUGUUGCAGUUAAAAAGCUCGUAGUUGAAUUUCGAGACCGGCUUACUGGUCGUGCUAUUGUACGUACUGGUAUAAUCGGUUUCUCCCUUCUGACGAACCAUGAUGUCAUUAAUUUGGUGUCUUGGGAAAUCAGGACUGUUACUUUGAAAAAAU